CCUACGGGUGGCUGCAGUGGGGAAUUUUGGACAAUGGGGGCAACCCUGAUCCAGCCAUGCCGCGUGAGUGAAGAAGGCCUUCGGGUUGUAAAGCUCUUUCAGCCGGGAAGAAAUCGCAUCUCCUAAUACGGGGUGUGGAUGACGGUACCGGAAUAAGAAGCACCGGCUAACUACGUGCCAGCAGCCGCGGUAAUACGUAGGGUGCGAGCGUUAAUCGGAAUUACUGGGCCUAAAGCGUAAGCAGGCUGUUAAAUCCCCGGGCUCAACCUGGGAACUGCAUUUGUGACUGCGAGGCUAGAGUAUGGCAGAGGGGGGUGGAAUUCCACGUGUAGCAGUGAAAUGCGUAGAGAUGUGGAGGAACACCGAUGGCGAAGGCAGCCCCCUGGGCCAAUACUGACGCUCAUGCACGAAAGCGUGGGGAGCAAACAGGAUUAGAUACCCCAGUAGUC
rnacentral:rRNA from 1 species